rnacentral:lncRNA from 1 species
CGUCCUUCACGCCAAUAUUGCUAUGACAUCAUCCUGAAUUCCAACAUCAAUCCGAAAAAUUUAAAUGAAGGUAUUUUCAUUGCCAUCUCACAAUAUCCCACUAUGUGGAGCCAACUCGACACAGAAUAACUUAUAUUACCUGAAGGGUCAUAGAAAGUCUUUAAGUCAAGUUUGGUCGCGAGUAAUCAAACGGUGCGGAAGAUUAGUUUUAAGUUCGUUAAGCCGCCAUGUUCUCGUGGGAUAUUCUUUAUCUAGACGGGCCAACAUCCAUGAUAGGUCAACCAGAAGAUUGAAGGAUGGGAUUCAAACCCAGACCUCUCCUGAAAAACUCUUGAAAGAGUGAGACCUCGAAUUCAAUUCCAAUCCUCCAAAGAGAUUAGUGUGUGAAUACGUGGAUUAUAAAUACAGAAAACUUCCCUUUUUAUUGUCUUAAUAAACUAAAGUAUAUGCACAGUAUCAUAAAACUGUUUAUCAAGUUGAUAUAAGUUGAAGCAUAAAUUAUUAGCCUAAAUAAUAUAUUCAUUUAAUAGCCAGAAUGAAGCUCUCUAAAUAAAGGAUUUUUAACUCGGGGUAUGGAUACUCCCAGUUUUUAUCUGUAUAGAAUUUACAGAUAACAAUGGAUGAUAUCACAGAAAGCUGUGUAUGAGUGACGUCACGAUGACAUCAUCAUUGUUUGGAAGUGAUGUAAUCGUGAUUAGCUAACUGAUUCCAAAUUCUAUAAUAAAUGAGAAAUAUAUGAGAAAAUGAUAUUUCUGCAUGGUUUAUUG